rnacentral:rRNA from 1 species
AUUGAACGCUGGCGGCAGGCCUAACACAUGCAAGUCGGGCGAGUGGCGGACGGGUGAGUAAUGUAUGGGAAACUGCCUGAUGGAGGGGGAUAACUACUGGAAACGGUAGCUAAUACCGCAUACCAUCAGAUGAACCCAUAUGGGAUUAGCUAGUAGGUGAGGUAACGGCUCACCUAGGCGACGAUCCCUAGCUGGUCUGAGAGGAUGACCAGCCACACGGGUACUGAGACACGGUCCAGACUCCUACGGGAGGCAGCAGUGGGGAAUAUUGCACAAUGGGCGCAAGCCUGAUGCAGCCAUGCCGCGUGUAUGAAGAAGGCCUUCGGGUUGUAAAGUACUUUCAGUCGGGAGGCGUUACCGACAGAAGAAGCACCGGCUAACUCCGUGCCAGCAGCCGCGGUAAUUC